rnacentral:rRNA from 1 species
GAAUCCCCGGGGUCAAACUGGGAAAUUCAUUCGAAACUGGCAGGCUAGAUUCUUGUAGAAGGGGGUAGAAUUCCCAGGUGUAGCGGUGAAAUUGGUAGAGAUCUGGAGGAAUUCCGGUGGCGAAGGCGGCCCCCUGGACAAAGACUGACGGUCAGGUGCGAAAGCGUGGGGAGCAAACAGGAUUAGAUACCCUGGUAGUCCACGCCGUAAACGAUGUCGACUUGGAGGUCGUUCCCUUGAGGAGUGGCUUCCGGAGCUAACGCGUUAAGUCGACCGCCUGGGGAGUACGGCCGCAAGGUUAAAACUCAAAUGAAUUGACGGGGGCCCGCACAAGCGGUGGAGCAUGUGGUUUAAUUCGAUGCAACGCGAAGAACCUUACCUACUCUUGACAUCCAGAGAACUUAGCAGAGAUGCUUUGGUGCCUUCGGGAACUCUGAGACAGGUGCUGCAUGGCUGUCAUCAGCUCGUGUUGUGAAAUGUUGGGUUAAGUCCCGCAACGAGCGCAACCCUUAUCCUUUGUUGCCAGCGGUUAGGCCGGGAACUCAAAGGAGACCGCCAGUGAUAAACUGAGGAAGGUGGGGAAAAAGUCAAGUCAUCAUGGCCCUUACGAGUAGGGCUACACACGUGCUACAAUGACGCAUACAAAGAGAAGCGACCUCGCGAGAGCAAGCGGACCUCGUAAAGUGCGUCGUAGUCCGGAUUGGAGUCUGCAACUCGACUCCAUGAAGUCGGAAUCGCUAGUAAUCGUAGAUCAGAAUGCUACGGUGAAUACGUUCCCGGGCCUUGUACACACCGCCCGUCACACCAUGGGAGUGGGUUGCAAAAGAAGUAGGUAGCUUAACCUUCGGGAGGGCGCUUACCACUUUGUGAUUCAUGACCGGGGAAAGGUCGUAACAAGGUA